rnacentral:rRNA from 1 species
UGCUAUCGGAUUGAUACUAAGCCAUGCGAGUCAUUGUAGUAAUACAAGGCAGACGGCUCAGUAACGCGUAGUCAACCUACCCUAUGGACGGGAAUAACCUCGGGAAACUGAGUAUAAUGCCCGAUAGAACACUAUACCUGGAAUGGUUUGUGUUCCAAAUGAUUUAUCGCCGUAGGAUGGGACUGCGGCCUAUCAGUUUGUUGGUGAGGUAAUGGCCCACCAAGACUAUUACAGGUACGGGCUCUGAGAGGAGUAGCCCGGAGAUGGGUACUGAGACACGGACCCAGGCCCUAUGGGGCGCAGCAGGCGAGAAAACUUUGCAAUGUGCGAAAGCACGACAAGGUUAAUCCGAGUGGUUUGUGCUAAACGAACCUUUUGACAGUCCUAGAAACACUGUUGAAUAAGGGGUGGGCAAGUUCUGGUGUCAGCCGCCGCGGUAAAACCAGCACCUCAAGUGGUCAGGAUGAUUAUUGGGCCUAAAGCAUCCGUAGCCGGCUCUGUUAGUUUUCGGUUAAAUCUGUACGCUCAACGUACAGGCUGCCGGGAAUACUGCAGAGCUAGGGAGUGGGAGAGGUAGACGGUACUCGGUAGGAAGGGGUAAAAUCCUUUGAUCUAUUGAUGACCACCUGUGGCGAAGGCGGUCUACCAGAACACGUCCGACGGUGAGGGAUGAAAGCUGGGGGAGCAAACCGGAUUAGAUACCCGGGUAGUCCCAGCUGUAAACCAUGCAAACUCAGCGAUGCAUUGGCUUGUGGCCAAUGCAGUGCUGCAGGGAAGCCGUUAAGUUUGCCGCCUGGGAAGUGCGUACGCAAGUAUGAA